GGCUGCAGCCAGCCCUCUGCUCAGCUGUGCCCUCUGCCUCACACCUCUCCGGAGCACUGAACUCUGCAAUCACUGACACAGACAAUUCAAUUGGAAGGAACAUCUGUCUCGGAAUUGUGUUCCCAUUCAGGCUGCCGCCGUGGCGACAGGGUGACAUUUUUCAUGCGUCUUGCCUGCUUUCUUUAAUCUCCUAAAUACAGGCACGGCUGUGGAACACAGGAAGGUUCCUCUCCCGUGAGAAGGAGAAAGAAAUUAGCCAGCAGAUCGAGCGUGUAUAGCAAAUAAUGAGAUUGCCUUGGAUACAGAACCGGAAUUCAUGUAAAGAAUGAUGCUGAUCGGAGACGAUAAGCGGCAUUUCUGGGGUCCGCAAACAGCGUCAUGAAACUUGCAUUUCUCAAGUUCUGAGACACGCGUGGAUGAAGGCUGCCAGCACAGGCCUGAUCCACAGACUGCACAGGAAUAAGCUGUACAGACACAGGCACUGUGAUGCUGGCGGAGCAGCAGCCACAAAGGCAACUUGUCCUGACAGAGCUCCACUGAGACGUGCUGUGUUUGCCCAAGGGUGCAGACCCAGCUCUAGUGGAGUCAGUGUGUCCUUUAAAAGGAGAUGGAUUUGUCCAAUACUUUCAAUACUCUGAAGAUGAGACUUGCUGGACAGUAAGAAGGCAGAAUCACUUCACUUUUCUUCACUGCCUGGGAUGCAAACAAAAGAAGCCAGAGCAAGUUCCUGCCUGCUGAAAUUCCAGGAGCUUGAGCUGCAUUCCAGCACGGCUGAGGGGUGUUUUGAAUCUUUUCUCAUAUGCAUCAGCCCUGCACGGCUCCCAAGCAACUGCACUUUCAGUUAGUUAUUAUUAAUAGUAAAGGAUUGACUACCAAUAGUUCUCAUUAAUUUCCAUGGCAAUAUUGCCCGAAUCAAGAUAACAAUUGCCUCGAGUUGUGUAACCAAAGCUCAUAACGUGAAGGAAUGCAAUCCAGGGAAAGUGCUCAGAUGGAGGGAAGUGACCGACCUUCCAUAACCUCCCUAAGGCCAAACUUCCCUUCAUAUCUAGCAGGCUGCAUUCCUAAUUUUCUGAAAAUAUGGAACGGUUUGCACUUUCAGGCUGUGUCCUCUGGGCUUCAGUCUCUAGCAUGCCUCACAGCUUUCCUGAAACAUUGCACCCACACAUUUAUUCCUUUAUAUUCCUCCUAACGAUGCAUGUCUGGAGCUUCCAUAAGAGAAGAUGUAACAGG